GUGCCAGCAGCCGCGGUAAUACGUAGGGUGCAAGCGUUAAUCGGAAUUACUGGGCGUAAAGCGUGCGCAGGUGGUUAUAUAAGACAGAGGUGAAAUCCCCGGGCUCAACCUGGGAACUGCCUUUGUGACUGUAUAGCUAGAGUACGGCAGAGGGGGAUGGAAUUCCGCGUGUAGCAGUGAAAUGCGUAGAUAUGCGGAGGAACACCGAUUGCGAAGGCAAUCCCCUGGGCCUGUACUGACGCUCAUGCACGAAAGCGUGGGGAGCAAACAGGAUUAGAUACCCUGGUAGUCCACGCCCUAAACGAUGUCAACUGGUUGUUGGGUCUUCACUGACUCAGUAACGAAGCUAACGCGUGAAGUUGACCGCCUGGGGAGUACGGCCGCAAGGUUGAAACUCAAAUGAAUUGGCGG
rnacentral:rRNA from 1 species